rnacentral:rRNA from 1 species
GACGAACGCUGGCGGCGUGCUUAACACAUGCAAGUCGAACGGAAAGGCCCUGCUUUUGUGGGGUGCUCGAGUGGCGAACGGGUGAGUAACACGUGAGUAACCUGCCCUUGACUUUGGGAUAACUUCAGGAAACUGGGGCUAAUACCGGAUAGGAGCUCCUGCUGCAUGGUGGGGGUUGGAAAGUUUCGGCGGUUGGGGAUGGACUCGCGGCUUAUCAGCUUGUUGGUGGGGUAGUGGCUUACCAAGGCUUUGACGGGUAGCCGGCCUGAGAGGGUGACCGGCCACAUUGGGACUGCGAUACGGCCCAGACUCCUACGGGAGGCAGCAGUGGGGAAUAUUGCACUAUGGGCGGAAGCCUGAUGCAGCAACGCCGCGUGCGGGAUGACGGCCUUCGGGUUGUAAACCGCUUUCGCCUGUGACGAAGCGUGAGUGACGGUAAUGGGUAAAGAAGCACCGGCUAACUACGUG